rnacentral:lncRNA from 1 species
GAACUGGUCCCGGUCCCUCAGGAUGGUUGUCUGGCCCACUGGGUCUCCUGGAGAGUAUCAUUCAUGAUCCUGGUGCCCCCAGGACCCUGUCCAGAAAGGUGAACUGGUGUUGUUGAGGACGGACCCCUGGCACCCGGCUUGGUUUUCCUGAGUGAGGCCUUCUGUUGUCACAGGUGACAUGGAAGGAACCAGAAAUCCCAAUGACCUCUUCUGUUAGUCUUUGACUGAGAUCGGAGAUGUGAGCCUCACUGAAUGACAAUAAAGUACAGCAAGCAGGCGAAGCCAAAGCCCUCCAAAAAUACGCUGGCUCCCAGUGAGACCUGGAAGAGAGUUGUGUCAGAUUCUGUCUCUCUCUGUUCCUGCCUUCAUUGGAUUCUGGGAAAUCAGGUUUGGGCCAUAAAUCCCCCUCUACCAUCUGGGUGACUCUGGGCCCCGGCACGGACUUGUUAUUAGC